rnacentral:rRNA from 1 species
UGGGGAAUAUUGGACAAUGGGGGGAACCCUGAUCCAGCCAUGCCGCGUGUUUGAAGAAGGCCUUAUGGUUGUAAAGCACUUUAAGCGAGGAGGAGGGUACUGGUAUUAAUACUACCAGGUACUGGACGUUACUCGCAGAAUAAGCACCGGCUAACUCUGUGCCAGCAGCCGCGGUAAUACAGAGGGUGCAAGCGUUAAUCGGAAUUACUGGGCGUAAAGCGCGCGUAGGUGGUUCGUUAAGUUGAAUGUGAAAGCCCCGGGCUCAACCUGGGAACUGCAUCCAAAACUGGCGAGCUAGAGUAGGGGAGAGGGUGGUGGAAUUUCCUGUGUAGCGGUGAAAUGCGUAGAUAUAGGAAGGAACACCAGUGGAGAAGGCGACCACCUGGGCUCAUACUGACACUGAGGUGAGAAAGCGUGGGGAGCAAACAGG